AGAGAGGGACCUGGAAUUCCGGGUGGAGCAGUGAAAUGCGUAGAGAUCCGGAGGAACACAAAAGGCGAAGGCAGGGUCCUGGCUGGCACCUGACGCUCAGGGGCGAAAGCUAGGGGAGCGAACGGGAUUAGAUACCCCGGUAGUCCUAGCCGUAAACGAUGACCACUAGAUGCGCGGGGUUCGACCCCCUGCGUGCCGCAGCUAACGCAAUAAGUGGUCCGCCUGGGGAGUACGGUCGCAAGACUAAAACUCAAAGGAAUUGACGGGGACCCGCACAAGCAGCGGAGCGUGUGGUUUAAUUCGACGCGACACGAAGAACCUUACCAGGGCUUGACAUGCAGUCGCACCGUCCAGAGAUGGACGUGCCCACAAGGGACGGCUGCACAGGUGCUGCAUGGCUGUCGUCAGCUCGUGCCGUGAGGUGUUGGGUUAAGUCCCGCAACGAGCGCAACCCUUGUCGUCAGUUACCAUGUCUGACGAGACUGCCACAAACUAGGUGGAGGAAGGCGGGGAUGACGUCAAGUCAGCACGGCCCUUACAUCCUGGGCUACACACACGCUACAAUGGCCGAGACAAAGAGUAGCGAACCCGCAAGGGCGAGCGAAUCUGAGCAAACCCGGUCUCAGUUCGGAUUGCAGGCUGCAACCCGCCUGCAUGAAGUCGGAGUUGCUAGUAACCGUGAGUCAGCAUAUCACGGUGAAUACGUUCCCGGGUCUUGUACACACCGCCCGU
rnacentral:rRNA from 1 species